GAACUUGAGAGUUUGAUCCUGGCUCAGAACGAACGCUGGCGGCAUGCCUAACACAUGCAAGUCGAACGAAGCCUUCGGGCUUAGUGGCGCACGGGUGCGUAACGCGUGGGAAUCUGCCCUUGGGUACGGAAUAACAGUGAGAAAUUACUGCUAAUACCGUAUGAUGUCUUCGGACCAAAGAUUUAUCGCCCAGGGAUGAGCCCGCGUAGGAUUAGCUAGUUGGUGGGGUAAAGGCCUACCAAGGCGACGAUCCUUAGCUGGUCUGAGAGGAUGAUCAGCCACACUGGGACUGAGACACGGCCCAGACUCCUACGGGAGGCAGCAGUGGGGAAUAUUGGACAAUGGGCGAAAGCCUGAUCCAGCAAUGCCGCGUGAGUGAAGA
rnacentral:rRNA from 1 species